rnacentral:rRNA from 1 species
GUGGGGAUUAGUGGCGAACGGGUGAGUAACACGUGGGCAAUCUGCCCUGCACUCUGGGACAAGCCCUGGAAACGGGGUCUAAUACCGGAUACUGACCAUCUUGGGCAUCUUUGAUGGUCGAAAGCUCCGGCGGUGCAGGAUGAGCCCGCGGCCUAUCAGCUAGUUGGUGAGGUAAUGGCUCACCAAGGCGACGACGGGUAGCCGGCCUGAGAGGGCGACCGGCCACACUGGGACUGAGACACGGCCCACACUCCUACGGGAGGCAGCAGUGGGGAAUAUUGCACAGUGGGCGAAAGCCUGAUGCAGCGACGCCGCGUGAGGGAUGACGGCCUUCGGGUUGUAAACCUCUUUCAGCAGGGAAGAAGCGAAAGUGACGGUACCUGCAAAAGAAGCGCCGGCUAACUACGUGCCAGCAGCCGCGGUAAUACGUAGGGCGCAAGCGUUGUCCGGAAUUAUUGGGCGUAAAGAGCUCGUAGGCGGCUUGUCACGUCGGUUGUGAAAGCCCGGGGCUUAACCCCGGGUCUGCAGUCGAUACGGGCAGGCUAGAGUUCGGUAGGGGAGAUCGGAAUUCCUGGUGUAGCGGUGAAAUGCGCAGAUAUCAGGAGGAACACCGGUGGCGAAGGCGGAUCUCUGGGCCGAUACUGACGCUGAGGAGCGAAAGCGUGGGGAGCGAACAGGAUUAGAUACCCUGGUAGUCCACGCCGUAAACGGUGGGCACUAGGUGUGGGCAACAUUCCACGUUGUCCGUGCCGCAGCUAACGCAUUAAGUGCCCCGCCUGGGGAGUACGGCCGCAAGGCUAAAACUCAAAGGAAUUGACGGGGGCCCGCACAAGCGGCGGAGCAUGUGGCUUAAUUCGACGCAACGCGAAGAACCUUACCAAGGCUUGACAUACACCGGAAAGCAUCAGAGAUGGUGCCCCCCUUGUGGUCGGUGUACAGGUGGUGCAUGGCUGUCCUCACCUCGUGUCGAGAGAUGUUGGGUUAAGUCCCGCAACGAGCGCAACCUUUGUCCCGUGUUGCCAGCAACCCCU